rnacentral:rRNA from 1 species
CUGCUGCCUCCCGUAGGAGUCUGGGCCGUGUCUCAGUCCCAGUGUGGCCGUCCACCCUCUCAGGCCGGCUACUGAUCGUCGCCUUGGUAGGCCGUUACCCUGCCAACCAGCUAAUCAGACGCGGGCCCAUCCUGUACCACCGGGGUUUUUCCGCGCCGCGCCAUGCGGCACAGCGCGCUUAUGCGGUAUUAGCACCUGUUUCCAGGUGUUAUCCCCCAGUACAGGGCAGGUUGCCCACGCGUUACUCACCCGUCCG